UCAGCGAAUAGGACUUGCAUCGCCGUUAAAUGGACUUAGGACUUCAACCGAGGGAGAAGACGGACUGGCUGAGAGACUGGUGGAGCUGACGGACUGGCUGAGGGACUGGUGGAGCUGACGGACUGGCUGAGGGACUGCUGGAGCUGACGGACUGGUGGAGCUGACGGACUGGUGGAGGAGAUAAUAAUAACGUGACACCUGCUGACCCACUUAUGAUGGCGUCAGCGAAUAGGACUUGCAUCGCCGUAAAAUGGACUUAGGACUUCAACCGAGGGAGAAGACGGACUGGCUGAGGGACUGGUGGAGCUGACGGACUGGCUGAGGGACUGGUGGAGCUGACGGACUGGCUGAGGGACUGGUGGAGCUGACGGACUAGUGGAGCUGACGGACUGGUGGAGGAGAUAAUAAUAACAUGACACCUGCUGACCCACUUAUGAUGGCGUCAGCGAAUAGGACUUGCAUCGCAGUAAAAUGGACUUAGGACUUCAACCGAGGGAGAAGACGGACUGGCUGAGGGACUGGUGGAGCUGACGGACUGGCUGAGGGACUGGUGGAGCUGACGGACUGGCUGAGGGACUGGUGGAGCUGACGGACUGGUGGAGCUGACGGAGCUGACGGACUGGUGGAGGAGAUAAUAAUAACAUGACACCUGCUGACCCACUUAUGAUGGCGUCAGCGAAUAGGACUUGCAUCGCCGUAAAAUGGACUUAGGACUUCAACCGAGGGAGAAGACGGACUGGUUUGAGGGACUGGUGGAGCUGACGGACUGGCUGAGGGACUGGUGGAGCUGACGGACUGGCUGAGGGACUGGUGGAGCUGACGGACUGGUGGAGCUGACGGAGCUGACGGACUGGUGGAGGAGAUAAUAAUAACAUGACACCUGCUGACCCACUUAUGGUAAGAACAAUAAUGAUAAUAUCCUGCUCAUUUCUGAAAUAAUUCUCUUAAAUUAAUAGUCAUAACAUUAGUAGAGUUUUCAUUAAAUAUUGUUAUUAGAGACAGGCCGCGAA